rnacentral:rRNA from 1 species
CGAAGGCAAGCGGAUCUCUUAAAGCUGUUCUCAGUUCGGACUGCAGUCUGCAACUCGACUGCACGAAGCUGGAAUCGCUAGUAAUCGCGGAUCAGCACGCCGCGGUGAAUACGUUCCCGGGCCUUGUACACACCGCCCGUCACACCAUGGAAGUCUGCAAUGCCCGAAGCCGGUGGCCUAACCACUUAUGUGGAAGGGGCCGUCUAAGGUGAGGCUCGUGAUUGGGACUAAGUCGUAACAAGGUAUC